AAAACAAUAACAUUUUGCAGUUUCAACCUUUGAUAUGUGUUUUCUUUUACUAUUUUCAAUUAAAUAUAGAGAUAAUUGAUUUGCACAUCAUUUAAUUGUAUUUUCAUUUUAUGCAGCGUCCCAACUUUUUUGGAAACAGGGUUGUAGUAAAGAUGUAACAAGUGCCUUUCAGGAAACAAAGGAGGUAUUCAGAGAUGCAGUAAUCACAUUCAUCAUAAGCACAUGUCAUUUUUCUGUGCUUCAUCGCUCUUCCAUUGUCAAAGUUGGCAAGAACCAAAUUGGGGCACCUUGCAGAUAUUGAACGCUGCAUUGUGUGUGCAGAGUGGUGAGAUGAUGUGUGUUUGUGUACAGGUUAACUUUGCUGUCAUGGCGGGAACUAAAAAUCUCGUCUAGAAAUGGAAAACGUCACCUUGUGGAGGCAUUUCAUCAGUCCCAAUUACUUCCCAAAAAGCAAUUUCUAGGUUGGUUUUAUGGUGCACUAGUUCUGGAAUACAUUUAAUGAAUGGAAAGGCUUAACCACUGCUUUACAGCGCAGGGCAGGACUUCCUAAUUGAGGCUGAUGAUUGACAUAUGGGCCUAUGACAUCUGAAGAUUAUUUAAUUUAGAUUGUUAUAAUACUUUUAGAAACCAUUAUAAAAUGUAUUUUGAUAUUUCCAGCAAAGUGACAUAGGAUGUUUUCUGUUGCAACCAGAUUUUAGUUUGCAUGUAUACAAAUGGAUUCAGAGUUUGUGCAUUUACAAGGAUAAUUGGAUGGCCAGUUUUAGACUACAUUUUUUAACAUUUACACAUAGCAUACAGUAAUAAGCCAUGAUGGCAUGGAAUGAUUUUCCUUAUGUGGCUAGGAUUUGUGAGUUGAAACUCUUAUGUAGGUAUUAAAACCAGC
ensembl:lncRNA